rnacentral:rRNA from 1 species
CACGCCAUAAACGAUGACAACUAGAUGUUGGGAGGGUCUGCCUUCCGGUGUCGCAGCUAACGCGUUAAGUUGUCCGCCUGGGGAGNCAACGCGAAGAACCUUACCUGGUCUUGACAUCCCAGGAAUCCUGCAGCGAUGCGGGAGUGCCUUCGGGAACCUGGAGACAGGUGC